AGUGGAGACGGCGGCGGCGGUGGCUGGCGUCAGGCUGUGGACGAAGAGGCGGCCUCGGUGGUAAGUGGCGGCCGCUGGGACCCAGCCAGGUACCGGUCCGGCUCGGCCCUGCCCCUUUCCGGCCGCUCUCACUCCUUCCCUCGGCCUCGAGUUCCUCGUAGGCCCGUGGGGGCCGCCGCGGGGUCGGGGCUGCGAGGCAGCGCCCGCCGUUCCAUGGUAAGCGGUGCUACGGGACGUUCGGAAGGAAACCUCGCUAGAGCAGGGGACGCCUGGGCUCCUGGCUGACCACGGGGCCUUUGCACGGCCAGGGCUUUGCGACCGCAGUGUCUUCCUUCUGUCCCCGGUCGUGCGCCGUGCCCCUCAGCGCGGCUCACGUUUCGGAACACGUCUGCCUUUCAUGCCUCCCGAAGAGCCUCCCCGCAUCCCGUGCCCCCUGCUCGCUGCUGCCGCUGACCCUUGGGCGCUGCGCUGGUCCAGAGCGUGUUGUCCUCUGACGCCGUCAGAACCUGAGCUCCCUGCGAGCUGGGACUCCGCCGUGUCUUCAUUGCCUCCAGUGCAAAGCAACUGCUUGCAAGAGAACAAAAGUGUGUUCAGGUGCACAGAGUAGAAAAUUCAAGGAGCCUGAAAGGGUAUUUGGUGAAGACUUGAUGUGUUUUUCCCAGUCCUAACCUCCAAGGCCCAGUUCUCCCCUGGGGCAGAGGGAAACCCGUUUCUUACGGGUCUGCAAAGAAAGUCUAUGCAGGAACAUCUACGUGCGUUUCUGCAAAAGGUCAGUUACUUUACUUGGGGCUCUUAUACUUAACGUAGCUCGGAGAGCGCCCCAUGCAUUCAGAUACAGGUGGGAUUCCUCCGGAAACGGAGUUUUAUAGCACCAGACUUUAUCCCCUUUCCUGUAGAAAUUUAGGGUUUUUGCUGUCUUUUAUAACGAACAAUGCUAGCUUGACUAUUGCUUGUACAAACCGUUUUUUGCCCAAGUCGGACUAUUUUCUUAGGUUAAAUUCCUUGGUGCAGAAGUGCGAGGGCUGUAUUUAGGCCCCUAAAGGGGUGGUACCAAAUCGCCCUCCCCCACCAGCAUAAGAGGGGGCCGGCGACACCCUUGCCCAAGCUGGAUUUUGCAGACCUGGUAGGCGUGAGAUAGUAUUUCACUGUAGCUUGUGUUUCCUGUAAGUAUAGUCGAACGUCGUGAUGUUCCUGUUACAUCUAUGUUACGUUGAUCAUUGUUACCACUGACAGUCGUUUCGAGAUUGGAAAAUAUGUUUAUUAUAAACGUUUGACUAUUUAAAAGCCAUUUGUAUUUUA
rnacentral:lncRNA from 10 species